GUUGAGCAAAUCUUUGCAGAUUCGUGCUGGGUUAUCGCGUGUGCCAAGAGGAUUCUUGAUGCUGUGCAGUAAAUUGCUAAGGGUGAAAGGAAGAACAGAAAAGUUGACAGUAAUUUGAAGAUUUAAAGAAAGACAUCUGCAUUGAUAUUCAUGCCAGGGAAGGUUUUAUUAAUCAAAUGGACAGAAAGGGGGAGUAAUUUUUAAAAAUCAUAGAGAAAUGAACCUCCUGUUUCCAAGGAGACAGUCUUCCUUAUGGCACUUUGCUUGAAAGUUAUUCCCUACCCCGAUGAAAAGCUGAGAGGAAUGAAGAGUUCCUGACCUCCUACCUCUCAGCUGCUGACUGGACACCUAAAGGACCUGGCAGUGCUCCGGCAGCACCUGUGAGGAAGGCUAUACUCC